rnacentral:rRNA from 1 species
GACGAACGCUGGCGGCGUGCCUAACACAUGCAAGUCGAACGAAACGUCCGGGUUUUUUGGCGCACGGCGACUGAAGCCGUGGGAAGUGGCACUUGGGUACGGAAUACCUAUCCGAAAGGGAUCUCAACGCGGGAUAGGCUCUUCGGACCAAAGAUUUAUUGCGUUUGGAUGGGCCCUCGUUGGAUUCGCUAGUUGGGAGGGUAAUAGCCUACCAAGGCGACGAUCCAUAGCUGGUCUGAGAGGAGGAUCAGCGACACUGGGACUGAGACACGGCCCAGACUCCUACGGGAGGGAGCAGUGGGGAAUAGUGCACAAUGGGCUAAAGCCUGAUGCAGCAAUGCCGCGUGAGUGAUGAAGGUCGUAGGGUUGUAAAGUGCUUUUAACCGGGACGAUAAUGACGGUACCGGGUGAAGAAGCCCCGGCUAACUACGUG